rnacentral:rRNA from 1 species
GACGAACGCUGGCGGCGUGCCUAAUACAUGCAAGUAGAACGCUGAAGGAGGAGCUUGCUUCUCUGGAUGAGUUGCGAACGGGUGAGUAACGCGUAGGUAACCUGCCUGGUAGCGGGGGAUAACUAUUGGAAACGAUAGCUAAUACCGCAUAAUAGUAGAUGUUGCAUGACAUUUGCUUAAAAGGUGCAAUUGCAUCACUACCAGAUGGACCUGCGUUGUAUUAGCUGGUUGGUGGGGUAACGGCUCACCAAGGCAACGAUACAUAGCCGACCUGAGAGGGUGAUCGGCCACACUGGGACUGAGACACGGCCCAGACUCCUACGGGAGGCAGCAGUAGGGAAUCUUCGGCAAUGGACGGAAGUCUGACCGAGCAACGCCGCGUGAGUGAAGAAGGUUUUCGGAUCGUAAAGCUCUGUUGUAAGAGAAGAACGAGUGUGAGAGUGGAAAGUUCACACUGGG